rnacentral:rRNA from 1 species
AUAUUGGCCAGAGACCGAUAGCGCACAAGUAGAGUGAUCGAAAGAUGAAAAGCACCUUGAAAAGGGGGUUAAACAGUACGUGAAAUUGUUGAAAGGGAAGCGUUUAUGACCAGACUUGUGCCGUGUGGCUCAUCCGAGGUUCUCCCCGGUGCACUCCACGCGGCUCAGGCCAACAUCGGUUUUCGCUGGGGGAUAAGAACAGUAGGAACGUAGCUCCCCUCGGGGAGUGUUAUAGCCUAUUGUACGAUACCCUGGCGGGGACCGAGGACCGCGCUUCGGCUAGGAUGUUGGCGUAAUGGUCAUUAGCGACCCGUCUUGAAACACGGACC